GACUCCGUAGCUCAGCUGGUAGAGCAAUUGACUCUUAAUCAAUGGGUCGACGGUUCGAAUCCGUCCGGGGUCA
rnacentral:tRNA from 1 species